UCUGUUCUGUUCUGUUUGUUCUGCUCUGCUCUGCUCUGCUCUGCUCUGCUCUGCUCUGCUCUGCUCUGCUCUGCUCUGCUCUAUUCUAUUCUAUUCUAUUCUAUUCUAUCCUUUCUAUUUUAUAUUCCAUUAUAUUUGAUGAUACUGAGGAGGGAACCUGGGACCUUAAAAAUGACAACCAAAUGAUAGGGCACUGGAUAAUAACUCCCCAGUCUACCUACUUCUACCUCUUUUUUUUUUUUUGACAAGGUCUCACAGUGUAGCCAUGGCUAUUCUGGAACUCUAUGUAAACCAAGCUGGAAUAGAACUCAAAGAGAUCUUCCUGCCUCUGCUUUCCCAGUGGAAGUAAUGACUCUAGAAGGAGUCCUUGUUCUCCAAAGGAAAAGAAGACACAUUAGGGAAGUGUGGGACGAGACAGAACAGUCUUCAAUUUCCAUAUGACUCCGUGGUCAGUGUGACUCCCAAGGACAAUCAAAGCAGAACAACAACAGCUUAACCAGAAAUGAACGUCACAGGAGGACCGUGCAGCUGUGACGUCAAAGUCCCAGGGAUCACUAGAAGGACAUUUGAGAGAGUGUUCCGACUAUCUUUGGCCCUUGGACGAUGCGAACCUAUAUUCUCUGCAGAAGAUGAUACAAUCUGAUUUAGAAAAUAAGAUCAUUACUAGUAUCAUUCUGUAAAACAAGUUAAUCUCAUAUUUUUUAUAAGACUGGAGAGCUUAUCAUCAUCAAGGAACUCUGAAUUUGCAUCCCUAAUGCAUCCUUCUCAAAGAUUCUCAGGGAAGUAGCUGAGUCACCACUGAAGAGCAGCAUUUGAUAGUGCUUUUAAUGAAGCAGGCAUGGCAUGAGAUGGGGACAGACAGAUACUAGGAGUAAGAGGGACAGAACUCCUGGACAGGAGACUGGAAGCUUCCAGAGUCAAAAGUGCCCCCCUCCCACCACCAUUCUACAUGGAGCUGCCUACAGAAAGGGAAGGAAUGAAAGAGAGAAGGAAGGAAGGAAGGAAGGAAGCAGGCAACUAAACCUUGGUCAUCCUGGCUCACACGCGAACGUGAAACAAGAUGGCUUCACAGAGCAAAUGGCCCUUGUCAACCAACUGCUCUCUGCUUACUGAGUUGGCUCUCUGUACACCCACUCCUGUGUCUUUGCAUAUGAAAAAAAAUGAGGCAGUAAAAGUGUCAGCCUGGAAGCCAAGAGGCGUGAAAAGGACGGAGAAGGAUUAGCGAAGAGAGAACAGCAAGGCAACCCAGUGGGAUAGAAGUGUGUGUCUGCCAUUCUGCCUUAGAUCCCGGGUCCAGCUCUGCUACGAGAUCUCGUUAUGACCUCAGACUCAUUCUCUCCACAUUUGAAAAAAAAUAUUUAUUUGUAUUCAUUGGUAUAUAAAAUUAACGGAGGAGCACAAGUGUCUUCGAAACAGCACUGGAUCAUGUCCAGUGCGACGUGGAAAACCCUGAAGUUAAAAUUCUGAAGCAAGUGCACACUCGCUGCUAAGCGUAGCUGGGAUAACAGUGGGAGACAGCCUUCCAGCAUCCUCAGAUGUUUCUCCUGAAACAUCUCCCGUAAGUGCAUAGCAAGCAGAACCGCACAGCCGUGACCUCGCCCUCCUCAGCACCACACAGAACAGCGUCCGAUCGUUCACAACUCACAAGCUAC
rnacentral:lncRNA from 1 species